rnacentral:rRNA from 1 species
UACGUAGGGUGCAAGCGUUAAUCGGAAUUACUGGGCGUAAAGCGUGCGCAGGCGGUUUUGUAAGUCAGAUGUGAAAUCCCCGAGCUCAACUUGGGAACUGCGUUUGAAACUACAAGACUAGAAUAUGUCAGAGGGGGGUAGAAUUCCACGUGUAGCAGUGAAAUGCGUAGAGAUGUGGAGGAAUAUCAAUGGCGAAGGCAGCCCCCUGGGAUAAUAUUGACGCUCAUGCACGAAAGCGUGGGGAGCAAACAGG